UUUCCACUUGCUACAGUUUUUUUUGUUUGUUUGUUUGUUUCACUUCAGGGACAUUAAGGAAGAGAUUCUACAUUAAAAAGUUCAAGGAUAUUCAAAUGAUAAUUUGUCAGUGUAUAAUAAUCACCUGAGCCUGAUCUUGCAAAAUGCUGAGCACCACAUCUUUCUGUUAUCAACAGUAAGAGCUGCAAAAAUUCAGCAAAUCAGAGAUUCAAGCCUUGAUGCUUAUGUAAGUGCAGUACGGUGCAGUUGAUUGUAUUCUAAAUUUAGAUUCUCUACACCUCUGUUCAGCUUUGAGGCUGUUCAUAUCCAGGAAAAAAUAAAUUAUUUGAGAUAGGUUUCAUUAGAGUAAAAUUUUAUGAUACCAUAUGAAAGCUUGUAUUAAAAUCUAGAAAUAUCUGCUGCUUUUUUCGUCUACUUCAGAACACUGUAUGCUCUGCAUGAGUAUCCAAAUAAAUGCAGAACAUUAAAGUUUGUCUGAGAAUCUUUACUGUUUUUAUUCUCUAUUCCAUUUUCCUUGAGAUUUUUUAUCAUUAUUUUGCUGAGCAGAAGGCAAUAGGCAUGAUACUUAAUGAGAUGAUAAUUUUCAAGAUAAUUUUAUUUGAUGCAACAUCAUAUGGCACCCUAAAAAUGUAAGUUGUAUCCGAUGUAUGGUUCCCUCCAAAACUUGGAAGGUUGUUUAGGAGUUCUUCAGCUGAUACUUCAUCAGGAAUCCAGGUGACAAAUGUGUUCAUAGUGAUUCGUGUGUUCUGUCUCCAUGCAGUAUGUUUAUCUCUUGUCAGUGAGGCUUCUGUGACUUUUUGAGGAAAUAUGAGUUAUGUUCAGCUGAAAUAUGAAAUCAUCAAACUUCUUGUCUAAUGAUUCAUAGUCAAUUUUAUUUGAAAUUGAAAUGAAAUAUGAAAUCUUUCUUGCUUCCUUUCCCAAAUAUGUUGCACAGUAGCAUUCCUACACAUCCUCAAGCUACUCCUUCAGUGGCCAAAUUACAAAACCCCUUCUCAUGGGUCAAUCAAUUUUUAUAAGCUUCUGAUUUUGGCUGUUCAGUUAAUUUCUCAGGUUCACCUCCCUUUUGUUUCCUUUCUUUUCUUUUCUUUUUUUUUUUUUUAAUUUCUCCUUUUUAACAAUUUAAAGGACUGUAUUUAUCAACACUUAAGAUAUUACUGCAUGUAGUAUAAUUUGGAUUUUGUUCUUGCUCUUCAGUGAGUAAAUGAAAGCAAUGAUGAUUGCUUUAUAGCAGGUAGUAUCUCAUUUUGUUGGUGAUUUACCAUAGUAUUUUCCUAUUCUAAGACAUUUACUUCCAACAAUAUCUUGGAUGAAGGGAAGCAGGAAAAUGAUAAUUUCAGGUAGUAGCAAUAAAUUGCUUAAAAAGCAAGCAAGUAAAAGCAGAGUGCUGUGAGUCAUGGAAAUAUUUUUUUGUAAUUGAAUUAACUUCACUUGACACUGUAGACCUAUCUACACCAUAUUGUCUGAUCAGCAGCUUGUUUUGCAGAGGAGCUGCAGGUUUCUGCCCUUUCUUGCUACCCGUGCUACGCUACCACUCAGCAUUAUUCAUUGCUGCCAAGAGAUAGCUGAAAGAUGUGACGUCCACAAGAUAGGAAAGGAGCUAUCAAUUGUGCUGAAAAGUUUAUGAUUCUUUUAUUUAAUUUGUUUGUGAAAGCUUUUCAAGCUAGCUUAAUAUGCAUUUGAUUAAUUAGAUGUUCAUAAAUAAAUCGCUGCCCCUAGGAGGUUUACAAACUACCAUCUUAAUUCAGUUGCACUCUAAUAUUUUAGUUCUGAAAUGGUGAAAUUGUGAUGUGAGAACUGAACUCCUUUUCUCUAUCAGAUACUGGCUGAUCUAGAAGCAUGGAGAAAAUAAUAAAGCCUAAAUAUCUUGGCCAAAUUUAGGUAUGUUGCAUUUUGGAAACUCCAGGCAUACAGAAUAAGGAUGGGCAAUUUUUUUCCAGACUCUUUUAGUUAUAAAUUACACAUAAAUGAUAAAGAUCCACAAAGAAGGAAAAUUUCAGGCAACUUCUAAGGGUGUUUUGACAAGUGUUAGCCUAAUUGGAAGCCUGAGCAAAAGGAUUAGAAGGAUUCAUCUCAAAAUGUAGUGCUUUCCAAAGUGUGAUUGUCAACUGAAAUGGUGCUCUGAUAGAUAUGAGUUAGCUGGGAAUCUCCUGCUGAUGUGGAUAGAUGAUGUGAUUUCACACUUUUUAAGUCCAGUCUCACAUUUUUUUUUUAAUUCUGAAGUGACAUCUUGAUCUAUCAGUAUUUCUACUUGAUUAUACACAAACCCAUACCAUGUGUAGUAUCAUCAGCAUUCAUUAUCAUCUACAGGUCUUCUUAAAUAUGUCUUUUUGUUGUAAAAGCACGAUGAUAUACAAUUGUUCAAAACAGUAUCUAUUUGUUUUAGAAAUUAAGACUUCUGUAUAUUCAUCCCAUGACUAUGAGACAUAAACUCUUGGUUUAGGAAGUUAAACAGUCCAAUAAACUUGUUAAUUCUUCACGAGCUCAAGCUAUGUGGAUGAAUUUCAAACAUGUUUCAACCCUUUUGUAGUAUCAGAGCAUACAAUUCUCAAAUAAACUGAGUGAGCUCAGCACAUUCUUGGUAUAUUUGCUUUACUCAGCCUGUUCCUCUGACCUCCUUCUGCCAGUGUCCACCUCAGUGGGAGGAUAGAUCUCUUCAGUUGUGGAAGAAUACCUGGCUGAUGCUAACGAAUAAUUUUUUUCAAAAUAUAUAUUUUUAUACAUUAUUGACUCGGUGCCUUUCACAGCAUUGGCAUGUGAUUGUUCUAAUUUGCUGAUGUGAAUUUACCUGUACAAAGAAACCUCCUGGAAACAACUGGGAAGUUCUUAAGUGUUGCAUUCUUCCCCCCUCUAAUUAGUUCAAUUUUCUCCAGUCAUUUUAGAAAAUGAAAAGUUAUUCUAUAUCUAUAAUAAAUCCUUAAAUUACUGAAAAGAAAGUUUCUUGGCAGCUGCAAAAUCCUCUCACCUGUAGACAUGCUAUAGAUUUCUUUGCUGAGAAACAUUUAUUACCUCUGAACAGGUAGAAGAUCCCUGUCACUUUAACCAAUUCAGGUAGAAUAUGUAGACCCCAGACAAGUGAUAAGCAAGCAAGGAGGUUUUAGUUAACAUUAACAUUUAAUUAAUAUAAAAAUCCAUUCUGCCCAUCUGUCUGUAAUCACUAUAAUCUGACAGGAGGUAAACUUGUUCUCUCAGUGAGGUUCUGAAUCAUCCAGUGGAGAGCUCAUCCCAAUAUAUCCAUAGUCCCAAGAGGGCUCAUUAUGAUAUGAAAUUCCUUUGGCACAGUGAAGAAGCUUUCUGAAAUGCCCACCUGAAAUACUUGCUCUUUCUUAUGUUAUUCAUUGUUCUUGCUGCAGUCAAAUAAUUGCUGAUGGUGUCAAAAUGUGUUCCUGUCACCUGUACUGCCCACAAGUACUAUGAGAUAAUGCAGUUGAAUUCAGAUGUUCUCCUCCUAUGCCAGGCAACCUGAAUAUAACCUGAAAUAAAUGAUUACUCUAUACUCUUCCACCAAAGGGUCCAGAGCUAAAUAAACAAAAAGGAGCCUGGGGCAGUCCUGCCCCACAGAAUAUUCAUAUUUUUUCCUUGCAUCUUUACAAUAUAGAAAUUCAUCAUGCAUGAAUAGGCAGAACUUUCAGACAUCUCAUACAUCAAGGAGGAUGACCUUUCUGAGGUGAGAACAACUAGAGAAGAUAGCAUUUCCCUCUGUAUUUGUGGGAAAUUUUGAGAUGCUUCCCACAGGCUUUCCAGAGUGGCUGUCACUGCUCAACUCUUACUGCAUAUAAGACAGAUUAUGAUUUGUCUGUUUGUUUUUCUUACCUCCUGGCAAAAGCAGAACCCAACAUUUUAAUUGAUAUUAAAAGAGCACAGGAAGCGUUUGAUUCCUGGUAUUUAUCCAAAAGCGUUUUUUUGAUGUUGUUGUUGUUCUUUAAGUAGAUGAACAAAAGUGAUGAAAACAUCUUCAUAAAAAGAUGUUAAUGGAGUUCAAGUUAAUGCCAAAGUAAAACCUUCGAGAGCACUUCAUAUUGGGAGCAAAUAAAUAGCUAGUAAAUUUUUAUUUCCUAUCUUUUUCUAUUCCAUCUUUCAUAUUGCAGAAGGAAAUUUUCCUUUCUAUUAACAAAACCUUUAUUUCAUCUUCCAAAGUAAGAUUAUCAUAAAACAGUCCUUCUCCUAAGAAAAACAAAAUGAAAACAGAAAAGCACCCUGCUUUUUCUCUGAAGCAUCUCACUGUAAUAUUCCUUAAUAUGCCAGCAGUCUCCUACACACUCAUCCAUUCUGUAACCUUGUCCUAUUUUUCAGUGUUCAUUUCUUAGCUUAUAACUGCAAUCUCUAGCAGCCUAAUUAUCACUGGUUUAACCUAACUUCAUCUUUGACGCUAAAGAAUUUCUUUCAAGAAGACCCUUGUGAGAUCACAGUUCCCACAAUUUGCAGUCAUCAGUGAAGAUUCUUGAAGUUGCACUAGAGCAAUCAACCAAUGGAACUAAUGGUUUUGUAAAGAGCCCCUAGAAAAACAUUUACGCUAUGUUAGUUUGGACUGUUUCCUCUGAAGUAUUCCCAUGCUAUUUCUCAUCCUAUAACAAUGCCUCUAGUCUUUCCAACUGCUAUUUCAUUAUCAAGCAAAAAAUUACAUAGUUUUCAACAAGUCAACAAAAUUCAGUUCCAUAUUCCCAAGCUUCAGUUCAUGUCGGACAGUAGUAAGAGAUGACUUGCAGUCAUAUUCAUGUGAACCCAAGUAAAAAAUAUUCCCUCCAGCUCAAAUUUCUCAUAGUGCCUGCAACUAUGCGAUAUCACAUAGCACUCAGCUUCUGACUCUGAAAUUUUUAAGCAACACCAUUGAGAUCACUUAUAAAAGCAGUUAUUUAGCUAUCAGUAAAAAGCCAACAAAUUUUAUACUGAAAUGUAGCUUUAUUUUUGGAUGUAACUAAUUACAGAUUAAAUCUGAUCGCAGGAAAUAAAUUGCAAACAACCUGCUUGCUUUCUGCACUCCCCAUUUCCAGGCACUGUAAUGCUGCAAAUAAAAGGUCUGCCUCUUCUGACUUGAAGCAUAUGGUCAGGGUGAGUGCACGUUCCCAGUUACUUCUGCAGUAACAUUUAAGAAGGGCUCAAACCAGAGGUAUUUCAGGGUUUUUGUAGAUAAUUUCUACAGUUUUUGUAGAUAAUAGUACACAGUUGUGUUUAGUUUCUUUCUUAUCAAUUUCACUAAGUUCCUGUUGGAAGAUCUCCCCAUUCUCAGAUCCUGAGGUUGCUCAUUCUCAGUAAAUUCCAGGUACCGGUCCCCUGUAGGUACAUUGAUUUCAGUAUCACUGCUCAUUUGGACUUGUUGAAUGGUUCAGCAUUCCACUGAUCACAUCACUGUACUCCUUGGUUCCUUUAUGCGUUUUGCCUAAAUUGUUUAAUGAUUCUAGUUACUUAGGUAAAUGAUGGAUUCUGUGCCUUUGGAAUUGAUAUACUUUCCACACACGGUAGUGUUCCGGAUGUUGCUUAUGUGGCCAAUUUAUCUCCAGUAUUACAUGUAAUUAUUUUUUACAGAGAUUAGGUUUGUAAAUGUGGUGUCUCAAGUGAAGUUCUCCACAUCAUGAUAAAUAAGACACAGUUCUCAGCUGCACAUAAGCAAAUCCUGAAGAUUUCAGUGAGGGUUCUACCCCUCCGUAUCACUUUGAACAGUGUCACCCCAUUUGUUCUUUCAUGCAUCCCAUCUCUGGCAAAGGUUCUCUGUAUUCUUAUUCUCCUGAAGACCACAUUCAACUGCUAAUGAUGGGGUCAUAUUGAGUAACUCUCUCCCAAUGUAACAGUCUCUCCAUGUCUAGACAGAGUGCAUUCCCGUUUACUAUCCCAUCAUGGCAUAAUGUUUCCAGACACCUUUCUCAGCUCCCAUGUCUGCUUCCCCAUUCACUCUCUUGGAUUCAUGAACCUUUGAGAUGAAGCAGCUGUGCAUUGGCACUAAGGAUGAUCGAAUAGGGCAUGAGAGAUAGCGUUUGAGUUUGAAGAUCAGGAACUUUGAUAUUGACCUUUGAAUAGACAAGCAGUUUCUUUGCAGAUUUAUAUCAGGAGAACUUAAGUCAAGUAAUUUCAAUAACACUCGUUCUAGUUGUUUGGAGCUGUGCUAUAUGAUACUGUGUACUUUAUGAACCCAGAGCUGCUGGACAUAAUGGUUUACCCCCUGUGCAUGACAGGACCAAUAUAGAUGUGUUCCACCAGAAAAAAAACAGGUGACUUUCUGUGGAUGCCCUGCACAGGUGGUGUGAUCAAAAAUAAACUUCCAUUUUCCAGGGGGAUUAAUUUCUGGAGUACAUUAAUUUUUUUCUAAGACAGAUACAAAGAUGGUUGGGAGUACAUCUUUUCAAACUAGAUAUUAUUUCCAUGCAAUAACUUAUUUUUGUGAUUUCUUCUUCCAACUCAAAAUUCUCUUUCAGGAGUCAUCUUGAAAUCCAUGCUGGAACUUUUGUGGUGAAAACAUACUUCUUAGCACAGUAAAAUAUCAAUUUAAUAUUCAUUCUCAGCAUGACACCUUUUAAAGUUACUAGAUGAGAGCUGUGAGAUGUGCUUUAACUGGAGGAACAUUCUCUACAGCAUUUGUAGAAGUUCCAGAAACUCUUACCAGAUUGAAAUUCAGCUCACCUUGAUAGCAGCUUGUCAUGGGAACAGAGCCAUGACUGUAGUGCUGUGUCAUGCAGUAGGACUCAGCAGACUGGAUAGCAGCAGGUGCUGUUCAAACAGUGCAAAUUGUAGUCCUCAUCAGUUCUGGAUAAUGAAGGGUCUGAAAUAUAUCCCUAGGUAAGUGUCUGAAUGGAAGUGCUCCCCUAUACUUUAGCUGCCUAAAAUUCUGGUGUUAAGGCCCACACUGUUAUGAACAGCAUUGACUGCUGAUGGACAGGCGGAAGUAUUAUACUUUAAAAACUCCAACCCAUGCUGGUAAAUCUGAGAUGUCUGCAGUUGUAAGUAGGUACACAGUUUUGUGUGUUAUGCUUUGUUCAAAGUUAAGUCACAAUUCAAGUGUAUGCAGGAGCUUUCACAUCAUGCAUUGGGCUUAGGUGGCUCAUACUUGCAGAUUAGUGUAAUCAUCACUGAAACUAAUUCAGUUAGAAGGAAAUCUGAUCAAAAACAAUCUCAGAAUUCUAGUACCUGUUCAAAAACGUGUUUCAGUAAAUGAAAACAUCUUCCUUGAAUCUUUUGCAUAAUUAAUAGAAAAUGCACACAAUGAAGUGAUGAGUAAUACCAUACUUUGUUUAGGAAGUAGUGUUUACAAUUGAAAAGUCAGCCUUAUUUCUGUGACUCAUAUAUACUACAAAAAAUGCCAACUUUUUAAUUUUUUUUUCUUUCUCCUAAUUUUUGUCUUUUGAACUUAAUUGUGUUUACCCUUUAUGGAAUCAGAUCGUGGGGCAGAAAUCGCUGUGAGGGAAUGAGAGGGAAGUAGUGGCUGCUUCGUUGUCCUUGUUCUGGUUGGGUGUGGUUACUGGAUGUAAUUAGAGGAGCUCACCUGGAGCAGUCCUGAGCCCGCUGUCAAAUGGCUGCAAUAGCACAGCUCAGCAGCAGUGUGCUCUUUGGCAGUUCACGCUGGAGCCAAAUGAAGAGCAAACAAGGGAAUGCUGCUUUGGACUCCUUCCUGACCUUGGGGUAGCAUAAAAGUGCAGGAGCGCUGGACAGGCGUGUUUUCUUUUGCUUCAGAUUUGUGGCCCCUUAGUAGGGCUUUGUUUAGGUUGUAGUCAGCAGUGGUAGUUGCCAAUGACCCCCUGGCUCCUUUGAAGUGGCAGUCCAUCAAGAAAAAUAAUGUCAUAUAGAAAUUUAUUGGUCUAUCUGUGUGAAUCAGAAGGUAGCGUAGAGAAAUGGUCCCCAAGAGUACAACUGGCUUUAAGUGGCUCAGCUGCUUUUCUGCAUUUGAGUGACAGUGGCAUUAAGACAGCUCAGAAACUCAACUAUUCAUCUUUUCUGGGUAGAGCAGCUGCCCUUCAAUAACAGCUAGAGGAAUGCAGCUCUGCUUUAUGACACCGAUGUAAGGCAAGCUAAGAUAGGAGGGAUAAUAGGUUCGUGCAUAGAGGAUUACAUUAUUUCCUUUACCUAGACAACUGCCCCAGGUAAGAGGUAAAUAUUUAUUUACCAUUUGAAGAUAUUAUAUAAUUUAUAUAAUUUAAGUAAAAUUCAGAGUUUUUUUCUAAAUAACAGAAAUCUAAUAUUUUUAUCCCUAUAUGUAUUUUGUGCAAAUACAUUAAUAUUUCAGAUAAAUAAUUCAUACCCUAAGAAUAUGAAUACAGUAAUUCAAGUUAAUUAAUACUGUAAUUCUAUCAGCAAAGAAUAAUUAUUAGUGAGAUCCUAAGACUCUUCUCUCUAUCCUCCUUCCAUCUCCUCUAUUUUCCCCCCCA
rnacentral:lncRNA from 1 species